GCUUUCGAGCAUCCUCUCUCAAGUUUUAAAAGCCAUGUUAAGGAGGAUGGGCAGGUAUAUUCAUUUCCCAUGCACACCAGAGGAAUUGAAUCACACUAAGAUUGGCUUUCAUGCCAUGGCCGGCUUUCCCAAGGUAAUUGGAGCGAUAGAUUGUACGCAUGUGCAACUUGUCCCUCCUUCAGACAGAGAACAUAUUUAUAGGAACCGUAAGCACACACAUUCCAUGAAUAUGCAAGUUGUGUGCGACUCGAAAGGAACCAUUACAAAUGUAGUGGCAAAAUAUCCAGGGUCAGUACAUGAUUCAUUCAUUCUGAGGAACAGUGUCAUCUUCUCAAAGCUGAGAGAUGGCGAAUAUGGAGAUGGCUGGCUUUUGGGUGAUGGCGCAUACCCCCUGCAGCCCUUCCUCCUGACACCGGUCCUCAAUCCUGCCACUGCAGGGGAGAACCGGUAUAAUGCAGCUCACGUGCGCACAAGGAACAUUGUGGAGCGCACCUUCGGCAUCCUAAAGAGCAGAUUUCGGUGUCUGGACCGCACGGGGGGGGGCACUUUUGUAUAGCCCAGAGAAGGUCUCCCAGAUUGUUAUUGUGUGUUGCAUGCUCCACAACGUUGCAAAACGUCAUGGGAUGGAGCAUGGUGCCAUGGACGAGGAGAGACAGGAGACGGAUGACAAUCACGGGCCUCAACAGCCCGAUGUUGCAGGACAGCAGACGCGUAUCACCCUGAUUCGAAAUGUUUUUUCCUGAACGAUUACGCACAGUGCGCACCGCACCUCCAGCCUGCGUCUCAAUUGUUCUCUCUGUCCCCUGACCGGGCUCUGGCUGCUGCAUUCUGGAGCCGCUGGAACUGAC